rnacentral:lncRNA from 1 species
UUUUUUUAUUUAUUCAUGAGAGACACAGAGAAAGGCAGAGACAAAGGCAGAGGGGGAAGCAGGCUCCAUGCAGGGAGCCCCACGUGGGACUCGAUCCUGGGACUCCAAGAUCACGCCCCCCAGGCUGAAGGCAGAUGCUCAACCUCUGAGCCACCCAGGAGUCCCCAUGAGAGACUCUUAAUGAUCGAAAACUAAUUGAGGGUUGAUGUAGGGAGGUGGGUGGGGGGUGGGCUAGAUGAGUGAUGGGCAUGAAAGAGGGCACUUGUGAUGAUGAGCACUAGGUGUUAUAUCUAAGUGAUAAAUCACUGAAUUCCACUCCAGAAACCAAUAUCGUGCUCUAUGUUCACUCACUAAAAUUUAAAUUAAAAAAACAAUGAACAACAAAAUGGAACAACCUGAAAGUUAGAUCACAGAGGACAGAGCAGAAGUAAACUGUGUGGCAGCCAUAUGGUAGGCUACGAUUUAAUCUUUACAGGGAAGAAGUAGGGAAAUGUUUUAAUGCCAUGAAAAAAAAAUGUUGCAGGAAAACAGGGUACAAAAGAUUCCUAUUUUAUUCCCGUGUGUGUCCUUAAAGCAAGAGCUAGAAAGCCUGGAGAUGCACCCAACUGUUAUCUUGGGACCGUUGCCUGUGAGGUUCCUUUCCUUUAGUGCUUUCUGUUCAGUCUACAUUACAUUUUCUGUUGUGAGCACAUAUUACUUUUAUAAUUAGGGUAAGAAAAAAAUCCAUGGGUUUGGCUUCUUUUGAAUGAAGGAUAUCAGCAGGGGUCAAGUUGCGUGAAGCAGGGUUCCCUGUGGGUGCCUCUUUGGGCCCUUCCCUGCCCCCACGUGCUUCCACCCUCACCCCUGCUGUGGCCUGGGGAGUGUGGGCCCUGAGCUCUGCCAGGGGCGGGGGGCAGCCUGCUGCCUAUCCCCUUGUGUGUCCCCCACCCCGAGUGGGCCUGGCAGGACCCCAAGUGCUCUGUUUGGUUCCCACCCCACCCGUGUGUCUCUGGAGCUCUAUUUUCCAGAGGGAGAAAUGUAGCCAUUUGGUGCUCCAGGACCCCAGCGGUGGGGUGACGAUAAUAGGGUCGCAGUACUCAGGGACUGGCCUUGCCCUCUGCCCUGCGGCCAUAUUGCAGUUUUGCCGGGGCCGCAAUGUCUCGAGGACAGGGUGCACGCCAAGAACCUCUGUCCCACUGGGUCCUGUCUCCUAGAGUGCAAGCCAGUGCCCUUGCCCUUGCCCUUGCCCUUGCCCUUGCCCUUGCUCCUGCCCCUGCCAGAGGUGGCCAAGGCCGGGCUUUCUGAGGAGGAUAACAGGAGCAAGAGCAGAAGGCAGGGAGAGGGAGAUGAUCUCCAUGGCCAGUGGGUCCUUGGCGGGUUCUGGGACUCAGCCAGCAGGGAGUGGCCUGGAGAAGGGGACAGAGAGAGCCAGAGAGCUGUAAGGUGGACAUGCCUUCCCCCAAGACUUCCCAGAGUUGAGAUACGCUUUCAGGGCACGAGACCAGCAGAUUUAGUAUCCCCGCUACACCUCCAAGUGUCUGUGAAGGAUACGAGUCACCUAGAAGAAGGGUCCCUGGUUUUGCCUCUUCUCAGGGGAGCACAGAGAAGGGGGUGGAGACACCCCCUUAGGCACUUAGGCAAGAGCGAGCACAGAGGGCUUUUCCCCACCGGGCCUGCCUGUCCUGGCAGGUGGUCCCCCAAAGCAUAGGGGCCACCCAGCCUGGCCCCAGGAGACUAGAGCCCUCAGCACCCAUAAGACUCUGUUGAUCCUGUCCCCCUCACCACCAGCCCCCUCCGUCCUGUAUUCUAGGGCUUAGUCACAGAAGUCAGGUACAAGAGGGGCUAGAGAACUGUUAGGUCAACCUUGUUAUAUUUGAGAGGAGAAACUUGUCCAAGGGCACUCAAGUGGCCAGCAAAUUUUUAGGGAUGAGCACUCUGAUUAGAGGACACAAUUUCUGCAAUCUGUAUCUUAGAUUUCUUUGUGCAUCCACAACGUCACACUGGAAAGUUCUUGCAGACAAUGGCAAGCAUGAAGUGAUGGAACCGUUGGCUUUUCUCCCUUCCGUUGCUGAUAACAACCUGCAAGAGACAUCCAAAUUUCCUUGGGGAACUUGGUGAGGACUAAAGGAGGGGUGGACUUGCGUCUGGGUAUACAUUUGGGCCAGGAGACCUCAGGGCUGGUCCUGGCACCACCUACCAGCCCAGGACGCGUGACAUUAGAAGCACUCUGGGGGCCUCGCUAAACCUGUCUCUUCUUUUGGGUGUUCCUUAGCAGCACCUGGCUGCUGUUUCAGAACUGCCCAUGGAAUGAAACAGCUACAACGGAGGCCAACAGGAGCAGCCUUCAGAGCGCCAAGAAGCAAUUCAACCUCUUACCUCCCAAGACUGACUUGCAACCGUCUCGUUACGGUGAUCUGCAAUAUCAGAUACCUAGAGAAUGUGUUGGUUCACUACAAGUUGCAAACUGUCACAGGAGGUUGAAUUUUUCCUUCAACCUUUUUAUAAUUAGCCUAAUUUUUAACCUUUACUGGAAUGUUGUAAAUAACCAGCAAGAACAUAAGAGCUAAAACAAACAAACAAAAAAGAACAUACGAGCUGACCAUUUUCUUAUGCAAACUCUUGCUCCCCAGUGUCCAGGAAGGCAGCCACCAGUGCUGUGGAGUUAUUGCACCCUGGAGAUGUGGCCGCUCCAAGUGGAGACUGUGCUAGUGAGCAUAAAAUUCAUACUGGAUUUUGAUGACAGUGUGAAAAAACAGAGUGUUAGUAUUUAAGCAUUCCUAUCGUUACAUGUUGAAAUGAUGAAAAUAAAUUUCAAUUUUUUAAUGAGAAUUUACUGAAAUUUUAAUAUGACAUACUUGGCUCACGGUAUGUUUCUGAUGGAUGGCCCUGGUCUAGAAUAUCUAUCUAAGAGCAUUUCUUCUUACAAACUUUAAAGCAAAAUGCGAAUUCCUCUCUUCCAUAAAACGUGAGGAAUUGUGUGUAAAGGCUGGUGUCCAGGCACUUCUCAAAGGUAUGCUUGAUGUCCAUCUCCUGUUCUUGUGCAGCGAGGACCAGGUCCGUGGCAAGUGGUUUCAGGACCUCAGGACUGUCUGUGAUUUCCAGAGUCCAGAGAGAAAGACAGAAGCAGCUCUCUCCAGCAUUCCUGUUACUGCUGACAGGAGAGCAACGCUCCUCCUCCCUCAUCACACUCUUGGGACCUGCACGAGAACUCCCUCCCGUCACCUCUCCAUGGGUGAUGGCAAGGAGGGAGGUGGGUUGAUAAUCAUCCCUGCCCCCACCACACCAUUUUUAAGAGGACUUCGUGCCCAGGAACGGAGCAGGAUCCUUCUUGGAUAGUGCAGGCAGCCAAGCCAAAACAGGAACGUGAUGAUAAAAAGCUGUAUUGGGGGAUGGGAGACAGCAAAAGAAAUUCCCAAGUAUGAACAUACAAAAUAUUGCUUAGACUCAUGGCUCAUCCUGGGCUGCUCAUCAACCUCAAAUACAUGGCGAGGAAAAAACAUUGUUGCCCAAGAUUUCUCCUUCCUAGAUCGGAUUGGCUCAACGCCCAUUGCUGAGCAGCACCCGUUUGUCGUCUACCUUUAGGAAGGUCUGAAAGAUGGGAAAUACACGGAGGGUGAAUUCAAAGAUUUCCUCCCCUACACCCUGGGUCUCAUCUGCUGACAGACGGGCAAAGUAUUAGGUGCGAGUUCAUUUUCUCUCCCACUGUGCUUCAAUUUCUCUUGCUCAAGGAAAUGUGGAGUGAUGGGGGAACGGAGCAUUUUCCACAGUUGUUGACUAUCCACAACGUGCCUGGUACAGGCCUGAUGUAAGCAGCACGUUCUCGUUUUAUACUUGAGGAAAUAGACAUGAGAUCUUGGAAUGAUUGAAACUUAAGUCAUUUCACAGCGAACAAACCGUAGACUCAGGACUGGAGCAAGGCUGUCCAUCUUCAGAACCCACAGCCUUGCCAGGAGACUCUCCACCAUGGGUGGUCAUGCCAGUGUGGUUUGCCCUCACGUCUACUCUGUGCUGUCACCUUUGGCAUUCAAAGAAUACUGUAAGUUGAGGACUCAAACUACUGAGGAUCAUUUCAGCUGAGAGAUGCUUGGCCAGUUGGGUGGAAAGGCUGGUGUAGCGCCACGUCAGGAGAAAGCUCAGCUGAGCUUCUUUCCUCUGAUGCCAGAGAAAACCUCCACAUCUGUGGUGCUGGUGACUGGGUCAUGGGUUCUCACAUCCUUGAGUUUCCAUUUUGCACAAGAUCUCUCUACGACCUUGGAUCAAGACCCAGGGGCUGUGGAAAAGGGAUGCAGCCCAGCCUAGAAAUGUUUUAAUUGACUGGACACAUCAGAAAAUGCUCAACUCACUUUUAAAAAUUAAAUUAUAAUUUAAUCGCCCACUUCCCAACACCUUACAGGGCAGAGUCCCCUUUGUGAGAAAUCAGGCUUCACCAUCACUGGUACCUGCAGUUGGCUGCUCCCCUUACCUGGGAGCCAGGGGAAGAGGCCAUGGCACCCUGGCACAGCUGUUCUCCAGAACACCCUCAGGUCAACACCCUGGCAUAUGCCCCUUGCCCAUACCUGCCCUCUGCACCUGCCGGCCUCACCGUGGAGUUUUUGUAAAGCUCUCACCCACCUCCCCAGCCACCUUCUCUAAACAUUUCAGCUUCAGUCUUUUCUACUAAUGAAACCUACCUGCUAUCUUCUAUUUCAGAAUUGCUCAGAAUUUCUGUUCUUGUACUUUAUUUUUUCCUUGACAGCCAUUAUAGAGUUUUUGAAGUUCGGUGAACUUUGGGAGGAACAGAUAAACGUGAGCCCUCAGUCACUGUUUGCCAUCUCAAGUUAUGACCUUUCAAGUUACUGGGGGAAGUUGAUAACCUGGUGGGGUGUCCAGGUAAAGUGUGUAAAUUGGCCCUGACUUCACCACAAGCGAGCUUCUUGACCUCCUCUGGCUUAUUUCCUGUCCUGCUUUAAGAAAGAAUGCUUCUUUAUAAAUACGAUCUCGAUUAGUGACUCAUGUAAAAUGCAGCCGGACUGUGGCAGCUUUAUCCUUCAAUAGAUCUGUGAGAAAGUUUCUGACCUGACAGAGUGGCAUCUUUAUUCUUACUUUAUUUUUAUUAAGUAGGCUCAUGACCCUGAGAUUAAGACCUGAGCCAAGAGCAAGAGUCAAACAGAUGCUUAACCAACUGAGCCACCCAAGAGCUGCAUUUUUAAAAUCAAGACUAAAUAAAUAAAUAAAUAUAAACAAAUAUAUAAAUAAAAUAAAUCAAGACUCAUCUACCUACAGAAAGCAGAUCCAGGACCCCUGGAUAACUAAUGUCGGUGUUGCCUGUGGGUUUAUCUAAAUAAUGGCUCUGUGUUUAUACUUGCUUCAGGUCAUUUUUUCCUUUGCUAGACUUUUUUUUAGUUCAAUUUACCAACAUAGCAUAUCACCCA